GCCUUGGUGAUAAUGGACUGAACCUCUGAACUUCGCCUUUCAGAAGAGAAGGCAAGACCCUGUUACUGAAGACAGUACUCACUUCAGACACAGGACCUGGAAGAAUCAGACUGAAUCUGACCUGGAGCUUCCCCCUCCCACUCCACCCUGAGGAUUAGCAUUGACAGCAACCGCAGACCCUAUGCAAGCUACCAAAGGAGAAAAUCCCACUCCCUCCAGUAAUAGCCCAUUCCCUCCAGCUGUAAUGCCUGCAAACUGUAAUGGCUGCCAUGCCACAGAAAGAUAUUCAGAACAAUAAACUAGUGGUACUUAUA